GUAGGGAAUCUUCCACAAUGGACGAAAGUCUGAUGGAGCAACGCCGCGUGAGUGAAGAAGGUCUUCGGAUCGUAAAACUCUGUUGUUAGAGAAGAACGUGCAUGAUAGUAACUGAUCAUGUAAUGACGGUAUCUAACCAGAAAGCCACGGCUAACUACGUGCCAGCAGCCGCGGUAAUACGUAGGUGGCAAGCGUUGUCCGGAUUUAUUGGGCGUAAAGGGAACGCAGGCGGUUUUUUAAGUCUGAUGUGAAAGCCUUCGGCUUAACCGCAGAAUAGCAUUGGAAACUGGAAGACUUGAGUGCAGAAGAGGAGAGUGGAAUUCCAUGUGUAGCGGUGAAAUGCGUAGAUAUAUGGAGGAACACCAGUGGCGAAAGCGGCUCUCUGGUCUGUAACUGACGCUGAGGUUCGAAAGCGUGGGUAGCAAACAGGAUUAAAUACCCCGGUAGUCC
rnacentral:rRNA from 1 species